rnacentral:pre_miRNA from 12 species
AACAGCAGGAAUAUUCCAUGUUUUCUGUCCUUCAUUCCACCGGAGUCUGUGCCUGUAUGGAACCAGAUUUCAGUGGUGUGAAGUGUAAAAGACAUGGGGAUAA